GGGUAUAGUAACCAAUAUAAUUUACUUGAAAAAUCUAAAUAUGUCAGGAUUGUAAAAUAGCAGCAUAAGGUUAAAAAAGUAUAUUAGUAUUUUACUAUACCUA
rnacentral:SRP_RNA from 1 species